GGGGAAUAUUGGACAAUGGGCGCAAGCCUGAUCCAGCCAUGCCGCGUGAGUGAUGAAGGCCCUAGGGUUGUAAAGCUCUUUCACCGGUGAAGAUAAUGACGGUAACCGGAGAAGAAGCCCCGGCUAACUUCGUGCCAGCAGCCGCGGUAAUACGAAGGGGGCUAGCGUUGUUCGGAUUUACUGGGCGUAAAGCGCACGUAGGCGGACUUUUAAGUCAGGGGUGAAAUCCCGGGGCUCAACCCCGGAACUGCCUUUGAUACUGGAAGUCUUGAGUAUGGUAGAGGUGAGUGGAAUUCCGAGUGUAGAGGUGAAAUUCGUAGAUAUUCGGAGGAACACCAGUGGCGAAGGCGACUCACUGGACCAUUACUGACGCUGAGGUGCGAAAGCGUGGGGAGCAAACA
rnacentral:rRNA from 1 species